rfam:Naegleria gruberi genomic scaffold NAEGRscaffold_102, whole genome shotgun sequence.
GCGGUCUUGACCGAGUGGGGGAUCCUCUAGGUGAUUGACUAGAAAUCAAUUGGGGCGACCCGCACAGGUUCGAAUCCUGUAGACCGCG